UUAGGUUGCAGUUUGUUAUAUGGGAAUGCAAAGUAUGGACACAACUUCAAGCUAAUGCCUCGGGCUUAUUUAACAGUAUUAUCAUGUGAAAGACACAGCUGUGGAGAGGCAAAGGGUAAGGGAUUUGGCAUCAGUUAAACUGAGGUGACAAGGUAGCACAUUUGUACAUAAUAAGGCUGGCCUGGGGAUGGAGGGAGUCCCUGCCCUGACUGUGACUCAGUGAGACUCUUUGCCUGGUCCUAGUCCAAGAGAAACGCAUGCUAUGAUCUCACUGAAGUCUGAAGUGACUCUGAAACUUUGCAGUAAAAAGAAAAUUUCAUCCUUUAAGAUGAGUGGCCCUGGAACCACGGCAGCCAUAUUGCCACCAGCUGGAAGACGAAGCCAACGGUGGGAGAAGACAGAGCUGGUCGAAUCCCCCAGGAGUAAAAUGCAGCCUGUAGUACCCUUCCUGGAUUGUAUCUUACUUGGAGUCUUCUUGUUCUGGGAGGCAAUAAAUUUCUUUGUU
rnacentral:lncRNA from 1 species